rnacentral:lncRNA from 1 species
GAGAAGGUGGAUGGAGGAGCAGGGAUUAGAUAGGGUAACCCGAUCCCAGUGGCACAGGGGUGGGGGGACCGCUCUGGCCACUCAGGGACCCCAGUGGCCUCUGCCUACCUAAGGCAUCACCGGGCAACAGCAACAAGCCUCCCUCAAUGCCUGCUUUGUGUGGCCCAGAUAAUGAUUUACUAACUGCAGGAAUCGGGAGGUGUGAAAGAAGAUGGCUUUCUUAACCCCCAUUGUCUCCUUGCUGGAAUGUCCCUUGGCCCGCCCCGCUGCACCUGUGCACACGGUACAGGAUGGCCCAGGUGAGCAGGAUCCAGCACGUGGGUCUGCGUCCCUGAGAUGUGCCAGGCGUGAGAGAUAAAGAUCCUAGAGCUGGACUCUAGGAAAGGAAACCAGAUGUCAACAGUCAAUUAAAGUCCUGUGAGGUCCAGGCACUGAGGUACAGGACCAGCCUGACACCCCAGCCUUCAGAGUGUUCUGGACAUCCCUGAACAGCCCCUGCCCAGCC